AGCAGUCGCCGCGGUAAGACGAACCGUGCAAACGUUACUCGGAAUCACUGGGCUUAAAGCGCACGUAGGCGGCGACAUAAGUUAGAGGUGAAAUCCCAUCGGCUCAACCGUGGAACUGCCUCUAAUACUGUGUUGCUUGAGGGAGAACGGGGCAUUCGGAACUUCCGGUGGAGCGGUGAAAUGUGUUGAUAUCGGAAGGAACGCCGGUGGCGAAAGCGGAAUGCUGGGCCUCUUCUGACGCUGAGGUGCGAAAGCUAGGGUAGCGAACGGGAUUAGAUACCCGCGUAGUCCCUGUCUCUUAUA
rnacentral:rRNA from 1 species